CUGCUCAAUGAUUUUUUAAAUUGCUGUGGUAAUUUGACUAUACAAAGGUAUUGAAAUAAGAUUUUAAUUGAAUGCUAAGAGAAUGGAUUAACAAAAAAAAACUUUUUUGAAAUUAAUAAUUAAAAUUAUUUUUGUUUGUGAAGAAACAACAAUAUAAUUUAAGGACAAGAAGACCCUAUGAAUUUUAUUUCUUAUUUUUAUAAUUUAUAAAUUAUAAUAAAAAUUUAAUUGGGGCGAUUAAAAAAGAUUUAAAUCUUUUUUUUUUAAAAGAAAUGAACCAAUAAUAUUGGUUGAAUGACUAAAAUACUCUAGGGAUAACAGCGUAAUAAUUUUUGACAGUUCUUAUAGACAAAAUAGUUUGCGACCUCGAUGUUGGAUUAGGAUACUUAUUUAAUGAAGAAGUUAAAAA
rnacentral:rRNA from 1 species